rnacentral:tRNA from 1 species
GGUUGUGGCUCAAUGGUAGAGUGCUUGCCUCACAUGUGUGAGACACUGGGUUCAUUUCUCAGUACCA